UAGGGAAUCUUCCACAAUGGGCGCAAGCCUGAUGGAGCAACACCGCGUGAGUGAAGAAGGGUUUCGGCUCGUAAAGCUCUGUUGUUAAAGAAGAACACGUAUGAGAGUAACUGUUCAUACGUUGACGGUAUUUAACCAGAAAGUCACGGCUAACUACGUGCCNGCAG
rnacentral:rRNA from 1 species